UGGUUUGUCAAAGUGAGAUAUGGU
rnacentral:siRNA from 1 species